ensembl:lncRNA
GGGAGGGAGGGAGAGAGAGUGAGAGGGAGGGAGGGAGGGAGUGGAGGAAGCAGGGAGUGGGAGAAAAAGGGUGAUGUCACCUCUCCCCAUCAGCCAAUCAGAGCGAGGGAGGGAGAGCGCAAGUAGGAGAGGGUGUGUUUUUGUAUCACUGCAGCAUCAGCGCUAGAGAGCGAGAGAGCACAAUCACUCACACAGAGAGGAGGAGGGAGAAGACCCAGAUUAGAGGGGAAAGCAAGACGCAGAGUUAGCCAAGGAGGGAGUGAAACCUGGGGCCAUCUUUCUUUCUUAAACCUGUGGAGGGAAGAGCCAGCAGGGGGGAGUGGACCUGAGAAGAGAAGAGAGACGACAGAAAAAAAAACAAAAAAAACAAACAGAGCUGAAGAGAAAAGAGAAAGAGAAAAAACAAGAGGUCGGGAAGGAGUGCCAACUGGAGCAGGAAGAGGGGGAUCCCAAACGCCCAGUGAGAGAACGAGAGGAAGCGAGGGAGGGAGGGAGUGAGUGAGCAAACGAGUGGAGAGAGAGAGAGAGAGAGAGAGAGAGAGAGUUCACAGGAGCCUGCUCAUCACUGCAUGCGUGAGUCGGUGUGGGAGCCACCGUGCGUGCGUGCGUGUGUGUGUUUGUGUGUGAGAGUGCGCGCGCGUGAGCGUGCGUUUAAGACUGCGAGAGCAGGUGCAAGUUUGAUGGGACAGUGAGCAAUGCCUACCAGCAUGCCAGGACAGCCGGUUGGCAGCAGGGGGCGCUGCACACCUCUGCUGCUCCCCCUCCUCCACCUCCACCUCCUCCUCCUCCUCCUGGCCCUCACCAGCAGACCUAGCCAGGCUGCCAUCGACAUUCCCCCGAACUACCAAAUACCCGACUGUAAGUAUUCUGCUUUGCUUGUUUGUUUUUGUAUAGUUCUGUCUGAUUCCAUUAUUGCCAGACAAUUCUAUAGCCCCCCGCCUCCCAGCAGAGCCAACAGAUGCAUCUCAGUGAAGAAGUUCCAUGGUGUUUGCAAAUGGAGGUGAAUGUCGGGUCUCCCUUGGCGAGAUACCAACAGGACAAGUGUAGAGUAGCGUGUUUCUGAACGGCAGUAGGAAUGACAAAUCAGAAAGAGAGGCGACUUAAGGAUCAGUGGGACCGCUCCUAUUCCAGUGGCGGAGAAGAGAAGAGAAGAGAAGGGC